CAGACAUUAUCACUCAGAAAGAAAACGUGUUGUUUGUUAGGAGCGCCCUAACCUUGAAGAUUACGACGGAGAAUCCAGUCCCUCUCGGAGCACUUGGUCCGGUAUCGCUUCUCGGCCUUUUGGCUAAGAUCAAGUGUAGUAUCUGUUCUUAUCAGUUUAAUAUCUGAUACGUCCCCUACCCGGGGACCAUAUAUUAAAUUGAUUUUUGGAACAGGGAGAUGGAAUAGGGGCUUGCUCCGUCCACUCCACGCAUCGACCUGGUAUUGCAGUACCUCCAGGAACGGUGCACUCCCCUCGGGGAAAAAUGGCAUGUGGAACAUUAGCAAUUAGCUUCGGCAUUCAGUAUGUUUUAAGCUGCACGAUAACGGGGGCUAUGGUUUUGGUGUGGAUCACAGUUUCUGGAAACGUGUUGGAUUAAAAGAACAUCUAAUCGCCAUCUGUGAGCCUCGGCACGUAAACCGCCAGCCACCCAGAGAUGUCUACAAAGUGGAACUUGAAGCGUCUGUUGGCGUGCACGUGUGGUGCACCAUCAUCCGAUCGGAGGUGCUGCUGUUUGCGGGUUUGAGUCCGGGCGUGUACAGGGCUGAGCCGCGCAGUUCAACACAACACAGGUUACAUUCACCUGGUUUAGGUCCUGCUUGACAUCAAUGAAAUCUUGCUUGUUCCAUUAAAAACAUGUCCGGGUGAUAGGAAUGGGCAUGAUUAAUCGACGAUCGAUCAUUGAUCAUUAAGAAUUUUGUCGAUCACGCUAAUUUGUUAUCGAUUAAACUAAUGCAGGUUGCGUUGCGUAGUGCGAGUCUUGAAGCAUUGACAUGAAUUUCACUGUUGCAAUUAAACAUUUUACCACCCGAGGGCAAUAAUUGACGUCAUAGCCUACCCAGUUACCUGUGAGUUUCCUUUUUGAUUUCAAUAACAAAGUAUUCAUGAAGAGGUCACGACGAAGUGUGGCGUCGGACCAUUAGGAUUUAAAAAACGACUUAGUUCACUGCAAACACUACGAUGCCGUGUAGGCCUAGGCUAUAAGUACACCACAGCCACGACUCAAAUGAUGUAUCGGAAAGUCUAUUUUCGUUUUACGUGUAUGUUUCACUUAAUUCAUUUCUAUACAAACCAAGGCACCGGAUUCCUAAAGAAACGCAAGCACCCACCCCUUAAGUGUAUCUAAAUUCGAUAUGUACAAAAAAAUGACACUACAGUGACUCGAAGAGCUGUAAACAGUGUUGUAAGCUGCGUGUACAAAACCGCUUGGAUACCACUUAAAGUGCAUUCGACCCUGGUUAAUGUCGGUGGCGGCGCAUCCUGCUCUCAGUCUCAACCUAGCAUCAACUCGGCGUUAUAUUAUCUUUUACUGUCUAUGGCUGUGAUGCACAACGAGCAGAGAAAAUUACGAGGGUGUUAAGAACGCCGGCUCGCAGCUGCAGGUUCCGCUGCUCUAGAACACUCCUGCGCAUGUCGGCUAUCUUCAAGUUUAGCCUUACUGAACAUCCAGUUUAACUGCCACAACGUGUUCUUCUUGUAAUAAAGAUCUUAUCGAGGAAAAACACGCUGUAUUUUUUUAUUUUCAUUGCAUUAUAUCAUUUUAUUGCAUUCAUAAUGAAUGUUAAUAUAAAAACAUUAAUGAUUAAUCGAUAGUCGAUUGUUAAUUCUCCCGACGCGACGAUGGACUAAGAAAAUUUAAUCGAAUGCCCAUCCCUACUGGGUGAGAUUAGAUAUGAAAUUGGCCGCUUCAGAAUUAUCUACCCGAUAUCAUUGGUACUGUUAGACAAUGUCCUGAACAGUAUUCUGGCACUUCUUUCACUAUGUAUUGAUUAAUAAAAUGAUUUGAUAAAACUG